AUCCCUUUCCAGUUCAUUCGUAUGAUGAUGAGUCACACUAUUGGGUGAAAUGUGUCUCCUACAAACCUUGUUACAAUGCUGGCACAUUACCCUUCUGACA